AAACCUUCAUAGAAGUACUAGAGAUCGCACAUAUGACCAAGGAUGAUCAACCACAGAACACUCUUAUAGCGUUUGAAGUUACCCCUCCGCACCGAGGGCUCCUAUGUGGGGCGGUGGAGGAGAAUGGGCUCCGCACUGAGCGCUCCUAUGUGUCUGGUGGAGACCUCACGGCAGGGUUGCUCCUGCUCACCUCCCACACCUGCUGCCCAUGUUCCAUCCCGGUCCUCAUCCCUCAGCUUCCACCCUCGGUGGCAACGCGCGUGACGAAAGAGAGCAUAGGAGGCGGAGGGAAGACGAUGGAGAUCGUGCGGCUAGUAGAGGCCGUACGAAUCUCCAACCCCUAAAGCUAGAUAGUUUCUGAGAUUCCGGAAGUCAUAUAGGUUUCCCACUCUGCACCUGCUGCAUGGGCACAACUGCGCCAUGGCCAUGGCCCUUGCACGUAAAGUUUAUCCACUUUUCAUUCCUUUGAAUUUGUAGAAAUUUCUUUUGUUCAAAUUCGAUUUCACACUUAAAAUUUUUUUCUUCUCAUGUAUUUAAAUACUGUACAUAGAUGCAUAUGCAGUAUACUGAAAAUAUGCAGGUCCUAGUAGUAGUAGGCAACAAUAUGCAGGCAUUACAACAGCAGAAUUUACUUUCUUAAAAUCUGCACUAACAGAUUAUCAGGAAAUACCAUAGUCAAGGUAGAGAUGUAGGAUUUGCAAUUUUGCAUCAGUUAAACAUGUAAUUUCUAAUAAUUUCCUUGUUAUGGUUGGCUGUCCUAAAACUUAUAUUGAAUCAAAAUAUUAGUUCUACCAUUUUUUUUAUAAUGGCUCAUGCGCCAAUUAGAUGAUCAGACAGACUAACAGCAUGGCGAUGCAGUACAAAAGAGACAUCAUGUUCUGGAUAUACAAACAUACGCGUCUCUCUUCAAAUUGCAAUCAAAACCUGCAAUGUUCAACCCAAAUUCAAUAUCUGAUGCAGGGGCAAAAAUGCAGGGCACACAUGUGCAGGGCGCAAACAAGGUUGGCAAUUGAGCUUCGUGUUAGCUGCUUUGCUUCCCCAGCAUUCAGCUCAGCGUGGAUGGAACGAAACUCUGACGCGGCAUUCCAUCAAACAGAUUCACGUCGAUCUGCAGGUCCGCCAGCUAGAGGAGCUUGGCAUAGCGGAGGUGGCCGUGGCGAUGGAGGGGUAGAGGCGACCUGGGAGUGGGAGUGCCCGGCGCGCUGUCAUGUCGGCGUUCUCGUAGCGGAAGGCGGCGGCGGCGACCUCCCUGAGCGUGCCUAGCGAGGCGGAGGUGCCGGCGGGGAGCGGGGCUGAUGGGGCGGGCGCCCACCUCGGAUGACAUUUGUUUAGUACCAUACCGGUUUUCUAUUGUCGCUGAAGCAGGCUGAAAUAAUCGGGCCGCAGCCCACUUACCUGAGUUGGGAGGAAGGUACCUGAGCCCCGCGUUGGUUUCCCUGAGCGACUCCUUUCGCCCCGUUUGUUUCACCACGGAGAGCUGGGCCUCCUGACAGUGUGAGGCAGCCGUCUGGCUCAUGCCACGGCCCACAUGACUGCUUACCCCCGUCGUUGCCCCGGGGAGGCCCGCUUCAGCGCGAAACCCUGGGGGCUCGUCUCACCUCUCCUCCCAACUCUUUUUUUAAAUUGUUUUUCCUCUGUAUAAGCUGAGCUGUAGUGGCAGAAAUAAACCUCUGGGGCGAUCCGUUAUCAGAG
rnacentral:lncRNA from 1 species